AUUGAACGCUGGCGGCAUGCCUAACACAUGCAAGUCGAACGGCAGCAUGACAAGAGCUUGCUCUUGUUGAUGGCGAGUGGCGGACGGGUGAGUAAUAUGUAGGAAUCUACCUAGAGGUGCGGGAUAACUUAGGGAAACUUAAGCUAAUACCACAUAAGCCCUACGGGGGAAAGCAGGGGAUCUUCGGACCUUGCGCCUUAUGAUGAGCCUACAUUGGAUUAGCUUGUUGGUGGGGUAAAGGCCUACCAAGGCGACGAUCCAUAGCUGGUCUGAGAGGAUGAUCAGCCACCCUGGGACUGAGACACGGCCCAGACUCCUACGGGAGGCAGCAGUGGGGAAUAUUGGACAAUGGGGGCAACCCUGAUCCAGCAAUGCCGCGUGUGUGAAGAAGGCCUUAGGGUUGUAAAGCACUUUCAGUGGGGAGAAAGUUUGAGGUGAUAAUACCACCAUCAAAUUGAUGUUACCCACAGAAGAAGCACCGGCUAACUCUGUGCCAGCCGCCGCCGUAA
rnacentral:rRNA from 1 species